UAUAAAAUUAUAUGACAGUCUACAUAAAAUAAGCGAGCAGAUCCUUAUAUCAAGCAUAUGACUGGAGCUUUGCAGAUUUAUUUUCUGGGAUUAUCUCUUUGUCCAGAUCAAUCCUCAUCAUUUCGCUCAUCUAAGGAGGUAAUUUGGAAAGAGGCUGAUGGAAGUACGCAGACAGGAUGUCUCAAAGACAGGGAGACAAGAUUCAUUAGGUCAUACCUGAGAAGGACAUCAAGGCCUUGGGAAGCUUUUAUGAGACACACUGGAGCAAUCAGGAGGGAAAUCCCUCAAGCUUUUCAGCAGUUACCUGAUGUAAGGCCAAAGCACACAUGUGUCCAAAUGAACAAAAAGCUUCUAUGGAUUCACGGUGUGUAAUUUAGUUGACACUGUGACCAGAAUAACCUCAUGGGGACAUAAUUCAAGGAACUGAUUUUUUCAGAAAUGGAGAAAUCAGACUACACACUGAAAUGGAGAAAUAAGACUCUUGCACUUUAAACAGGUGGGUUUGGAGCAUUAAAUUAGGGUUUUUAAUCUCCAUGGAUUAAAGCAUUCUAGGAAAACGGUCCAAUCAGAUGACAUACGGGUGUGAAGCGUUGGGUAACAAAUAGACAAUAUGCUAGAGUGCAGCAUUACAGCGUAUUACACCUAAAGCAUAAAAGUAAUUAAACCCUAUAGAGGGUCAACCUGUGCCUAUACUUCCUUUUGUCACAUCAGAGGUCAGCACAAGGUCAGACAGCACACAUUCUGAUUUCUACCAAAUCCUGGCACUUUUUUAGUGAGAGUGCAUCAUUCAUAAAGGACCAUCACUGCCAGUUGGCAAACACAAGACAAGCAAAAUGCAAAUGGUGUCACUUGGACCUUGAAACAUGUUGAGCUGUGACUUUUCAGUCAAUGUAAUCCAAAUAUCUGUUUUAGAAAGGGUUGAUAAUUACCAAGACUUUAUGCGGAAACUUUAGUAAGCUUGGGUUGCAUCAUAUUAAACCAAUAUUUGUUAUACUAGUAAUGUUCUACUUAAGUUAUUGAUUUUUAUUGUUAGUUGGUUGAGUGUUUGAUCCUUGAAGCUAAAAUGAAAAAAUAAAAAAAUAAAAUAAAAAUACUUGCCUAAUAUAAUACCAUGCAAAAGUUUGGGGACAGUAAACUUUUUUAAUUAAGUGAUGAUGCAUUAAAUUGAAUAAAAAAUGACAAUUUUAAGACUUUUCCAUUGUGUCAGGAAAAUUCUAUUUUAUUUAUCUAAGAAUCCUGAAA